GGAAGGGCCUCCUCUCCCGCGUCCUCUCCGCGACCCUCCAGCAGCUCAGGGCCCAGGACGUGAGGAGGGACGCCCCCUUUCCUCGGGGGAGCCUUGCAGGCGCUGGUGACCGGUCCCUGAAGCCACCUGCCAAGGACAGCUCACGCCUCCCCCUGCAGGGUCCGGAGAAAGGGAGUUGCCGGUGGACGUGUGCACCUGCCCGACAGGUGCCCCAGGGCAUCUUCCAGGCGACCGAAAAACCGAUCGUCCCCACCCAGCCCGGCCUGGCUCACCACCUCCUGGCAUCUCCCUUAGGAAAGGCUCCAAACCGCUCCAGGGGAGUCCUGAGACCCCUGAGUGUCCCUCUGCCCUGCCGCCCCGCAGCCUGACCCCUGCCCACCCCGGCCGCGGUCCCCACCGCUGGCGCUGCGCACCUGUCUCCCCAGCCAAUCAGGACAGCGGUAGCCUUGAGGCGGGGAGGUGGGCGGGGCCGGACUGACCCGGACGCGGCUCGCGGGAACUUCUGUGGCUGGUGACAGUGUUCGCUCUCUUGGGACUGCCUGGGCUGCCCCGGCGUAGGCAGUGAGGAAGAUCCUGCGAGUGUAGACGUCAGGUGUGUGCAUCGUGUGUGCUUCCGUUGGAUGCAAAUUUUACACCCAAAGAAAAAAUAUGUACAACUUUCAUACCUGGCUUUGCAGCCCUCAGCCACGGAACAACCAGGCACCUUCUGAGAACUGCUGUUCCUUGGCUUGCUUUUGUGAGUGACGAACACAAACCUGGGUGGGAUCAAACCUGGGUGGGAUCGCCUGCGCCCUGGGCUGGAGGCAGAGCCUGCGCAGAGCAGCGACUGGAGACUCGCAACUGUAAAGCGAUGCUAAGAAUUUGGGUCUCUAAGCACAUGCAGACAUGGCGGAGGUACAGAAAAGGGCCUAAGGACAGACAGUUCUCGGCCCUGCCCCGUUAGAAUCCACCCCGUCUAGGCAGCCUAUCACUGCCCACAGUGUCGCCCCAAAUGUCCUUAGAUGGUGCAAGAUCGUACUUUGAAAUGUCACAGAAAUAAGGAGGACAAACAGCGAUGUGAUAAAACUAGUUUAGUAAAGGCCAAAGGGGGUAUCUAGGUGGCCAGGUGCGAUGUUCCCUGUGAGCCCCAACCCCAGCCCCCUUAGCUGCAGGAGGAACAUUUUUAUAACAGACUUUGGGGGAAAUGUCUCCUGCCCUCAGACCGACUUCUCUGUUCCUCAUUCCCAACUGGUGCCCUCCCUGCUCACACCCCCAGGGUCUCCCCUGGGAGAUGCCUUCAGGCAGUUGCUCCCAGGGGCUGGAGCUAGGCCUCUAUCUAAUUCUACGGCUGCAUUUUUACCCUUCUCCCCUCCUUUUCCAUGACAGAAAUACCUAUCUAUACCAGGAAGCACAAACGUUUUUGUAUUCCUACAUGUAGGGGCUAGUUUAUGCUCCUGUGGUAGAAAUUGCUCAUUGUCAUUGAAUUUGCCUUCUUCUCUUCUUCCUAAGUAAUAGAAUUUUUAUCUGGGGAUAUGACCACUCAGAAAUAAGGACUCCAUAUCCCAACCUCCUUCACAGCAAGCUGUGGCCCUAAGAUGUGCAGCAAGAGGGGGAACUACUUCUGGAAAAGUGUCCUUAAAGAUAGGGGUCACAGCUGGGCGUGGUGGCACACGCCUGUAAUCCCAGCAGCCUAGGAGGCUAAGACAGAAGGAUGGGGAGUUCAAAGCCAGCCUCCGCAACAGCGAGGUGCUGAGCAACUCAGUGAGACCCUGGCUCUCAAUCAAAUACAAAAUAGGGCUGGGGAUGUGGCUCAGUGGUCGAGUGCCCUGAGUUCAAUCCCUGGUACCCACUAUCCACCCCCCCAAAAAAAGAUAGGGAGACCACAUUCUUCACCCCUUUCUCUUUUCUGCUGACUGAGUGAGGACAUGAUGGCUGGAGUCACACUGGAUCGGGAGGUGGUAGCCGUGUGUAGUCUCUGACACCGGGGUGCUCCUUACCAGACUGGGCCACCUAUCACUGGACUUCCAUGUGAGAGAGAUGGUGACACCCUCUUAUUGAAAACACGCCUUGGGACUUUUGCUUGCUAGUUUGUUUUGCAGUAUUGGGGUGGAACCCAAGGCCUCAUUCAAGCUAAUUAAGCACUGAUCUGGGUUUUCUGUCACCCACAAGUAAACCCAGUCCUGACAUGCCAACUUCUCUGUCUGAAUGCUUUGAUCCUUGUUUUUAAAAUGUCUGUUAGGGCUGAGGAUGUGGCUCAAGCGGUAGCGUGCUCACCUGGCAUGCGUGCGGCACUGGGUUCGAUCCUCAGCACCACAUAAAAAUAAAAGAUAUUGUGUCCACCUAAAACUAAAAAAAUAAAUAUUAAAAAAGUCUGUUAAAC
rnacentral:lncRNA from 1 species